ensembl:lncRNA
UGAGACGCAGCACAUGCAGAAAAAACAGAUAUCUCUAGCUUAAACAGAUGGAUUUUGAUGGGGAUUUUUAUUAUUAUGCUAAUUAGAUUUCUACGGGGGCGCUUACAUCGACUCUAGGAGGCUGUAACACAACAAAAUGUGGAAAAAGUCAAGGUGGUGUGAACACUUUCUGAAGGCACUGUAAAUAAAGGGCGUACCGGUACCGAGUCAAUGAGAAGAUUGUCCUUCUGGAAGGUUCUCCCAUCUCCACAGCGGAAGUUGGUCACCUCCCUGACCAAGGCCCUUCUCCCCCGAUUGUUCAGUUUGGCUGGGUGGCCAGCUCUAGGAAGAGUCUUGGUGGUUCAAAACUUCUUCCAUUUCAGAAUGAUGGAGGCCACUGUGUUCUUGGGGAUCAUCAAUGCUGCAGAAAUGUUUUGUUACCCUUCCCCAGAUCUGUGCCUCGACACAAUCCUGUCUUGGAGCUCUACGGACAAUUCCUUUGACCUCAUGGCUUGGUUUUUGCUCUAACAUGCACUGUCAACUGUCAACUGUGGGACCUUAUAUAGACAGGUUUGUGCCUUUUCAAAUCAUGUCCAGUCAAUUGUUUUUACCACAGUUGGACUCCAAUCAAGUUGUAGAAACAUCUCAAGGAUGAUCAAUGGAAACAGGAUGCACCUCAGCACAAUUUUGAGUCUCAUAGCAAAGGGUCUGAAUACUUAUGUAAAUAAGCUAUUUCUGUUUUUGUUUUUUUCAAUACAUUUACAAACAUUUCUGAAAAACUGUUUCCGCCUUUUCA